rnacentral:lncRNA from 1 species
GGAAAAGUAUUAUGUGACAACUUCAAGAUUCAAAAUCAUUUAUCUCCUUAACCGCUCAUCAUUUUUCGAAUCCGUUUGAACCAUUAGAUUAUUUAGAAUUAAUGUAACAAAAUGAGAUCCAAUAUGCAUAUUUUUCAUAAAAAAUAAAUAUUCAACACUUCGCAUGAACCAUUUUAACAUUUAUACUAAUUGUUUCAACAUUUUUCUAUAUUACCUCAAUAUUUACAUACAAAUGUUGAAAUAUUUUUUGCAAAAAAAAUGUUGAACUAGAUAUUAAGAAAUAUUGAAUAUGAUAUUAUACCAACAUCUUUC